UGUAUCCAGACCACAGGACUCUAACACAGUGCCAGAACCUGACAACCUUGCAAAUUUAACUUGUGAUUCUUGAUAGAACAUGCCGGUGAGAUACAGGACCAUUGAUCCUAUUUUUUUCAUUUGUGAUGCUAAAUUAUUUGAAAUAUGUAACACAGUGUGCCAAAUUUAAUUGUGAAACAUAUUUUACAACAUAUUUUAAAUACUUAAUGACCUAAAAUAAAUGCGUUUUGGUCAAUUUUAAUUGUUCCUUGCUUUUUUCCUGUCUAAUCAGUAAAACAGCAGAAUAUUUAGUGGCAUUAUAAAAACAAUAUACAGGGUAGGGUCUUGUCAAAACCAGGCUUUGUGAAAGUGUUUCUUGAAGUUUAACCUAUUGUAAAUGCAAUAGCUACAUAUGUUUAUUCCAGAGUUAGCUCUCCACUUCACUGUUACUGUUUUUGCUUUUAGAAAAGAUGCCUAUGUUUUACAAUUCUAAAAUAAUUAGUGUUUAAUUAUGCGGUUAACUAUUAGGUAUGCAAUGUUCCAGUAUAAAUACAGACAAGAAGGGCAGUGUUUGAAGAAAUCUUUUAUGUUUCUUAUGAUGUCUCAUAUGCAAUUAGUGAUGUCAGCCUAUAUACUGAGGCAUCGCUAAUGUUCCUCUUUGGCCCAGAGCACAGUGUGUUCAUUUCUUUCCAGAAAGAUUGGAAUACUAGAGGGCUUGAUUAUUAACACAAGAAUGAGAAACAAAAGCAGAAAGUAUUUUGUGAGGUAGACAGUGAAAUAGCUACAGGAUAAAAGUCACUUUUGAUGUCCAAUAUCACCAUGUAAUAAGUAUUUGUUCCUAAAAGUACACUGUAAAUGAGCAUGUUGCCUUCUUUAUGUGACUCUAAAGAAUCCCAUACAUGUGUUUUUCUAUAAGUAAAGUGAGUGGUAAUGGACUGUAGCUUCCUCCAGAAGAAUGAAAAGGAUUUCAGUCCAUUUUCAUGUGUUUCAGGUCUACAGACCUAACAGGCUUAAAUGGUCAAAACAAAGCAGAUGAGAACUGAACUCCUGAAUGACUGCUGUCAACAUACAAGCCAUUCCUGAUUGUACUGUACUGCCCUCUAGCAGUGCUACAAAAAA